GGAGCCCUUUUGACAUGACUUUUUUGUUUAAACUAUACUUGAUAGUUUAGAUAGAGGAAUCAGUGAAAAAUAGUCUUUACAGGAGAUUCAGUGCAUGCAUUAGAUUUGCAUCCUGAUUCUUUAUGUCGAGGAAUUCAAUGUUUACCUCAUAUUGCAAGGCUCAACAAUGCUUGACUCAGGCAGGCUUAUUCAAAUCUUCCAAGGGAUGAUCAUCGAAAAACUAAUUUAGAUUUGCAUCAUAGCUCAGCAAGAGUAAUGAAUAUAGAUUUAUGAUCUGCUAUUAAAACACAACAAAUGAUCUAUUACAUGAUAUUUUGAACCAUCUAUUCUAUCCAUUCAAAUGUUGAAAACUUUACAGUAGACACGGUUUACAAGUAUGCAUUGAGGAUAUUGCAUGUAUAUUCAUGAGAAUCUAUGAUAUUUAUAGAUAAUUAAAAAAAUUAAGAAAGGAUUUCAUUAAACAUAAAUCUGAAAAUAUUACUCAUAAAGGUUCUAAUACAUUAAUUCCAAAAUAAAUUAAAAAGUUGAACAAAUUAAAUUAAGAUUACAUGACCCAUGAGUCAUGACUAAUUAAAGGAUACGGACAAAAACUUGAAGCUCAAUUUAACAUUAAUUUGAAAAAACUAAUCACAAAAACUUAUUAAAAAUCCUGUACAGAAUAAAUAAAUAAUUUCUCAAACUCAGGAUUAGGCAUGCACCAAUCUAACAGAUUACAACUACAGAAUAUGCAACAUAAUCUUGCUAAUUCUAAGUUUCUUAAAAAAUAUUGGGGGGAAAAUGUAAAGAUGUUGAGAUUUCUUACCUUCAUCUUCAAAUAAACAGUUGGUUCUUAUUAGUAGAAGCAAAAUUUGAAGAUUGAAGCUUGAUCUAGUUGAAAAUACUUAAAAGAAAUGAGUGUGUGUGUGUGGAAAUGUGAAUGGUUGAAGAUGAUUGUCAGUCACCAAAAGAAAAAAAUUGGACAAAAAACUAGGUUUUUAUAGCAUAACAGCUGAUAUCAUUAUGUAACACAGCAAAAGAGUUGUAAUGGAGUGAAAUGAAAAAUAAGCGGAGCUGGCCAAAAAACCACUUGUGAAAACCGUAACAGUUUUUCAUGACAUUUAGAAUUUAUUUGGUUAGUGUCAUAGAACAAAAAAGAUAGAAACAGAAGGGACAAAAAAAAAUUGGUUGGAGGGACAAAGAUGGACAUAUAAUAAAUGUCUCUAUGAUAAUUUUGGAGUGAAUUUAUGUCCUUUUAAAACUGGAGGUACAUGGAAAAAUGCCCCCUCUCCACUGUUCUCUCCAUUGUCUUCAUCAUAACCAAAUGCUACCUUAGAGAUGACAAUUUAACCCAAACCUCAUAAAUAAAAACUUGAACUGAUCCGAGUGGGUGGGUUUGUUUUGGAUAGUUUUUUUUAGUCAAUAGGUAAUGAAUAAGAUAUGAAUAUUGUCAAAUCCAACCCGAAACCUAAUCCAAGUCCGAUCCAAAAUAUAUACAUUAAUA
rnacentral:lncRNA from 1 species